CUCUCUCAAAUCUUUUUCUAUAAAUCACAUGACGAUUCG
rnacentral:antisense_RNA from 1 species